rnacentral:rRNA from 1 species
AGAGUUUGAUCAUGGCUCAGGACGAACGCUGGCGGCACGCUUAACACAUGCAAGUCGAACGAGAGAAGAGGAGCUUGCUUUUCUGAUCUAGUGGCGGACGGGUGAGUAACACGUGAGCAAUCUGCCUUUCAGAGGGGGAUACCGAUUGGAAACGAUCGUUAAUACCGCAUAACAUAAUUGAACCGCAUGAUUUGAUUAUCAAAGAUUUAUCGCUGAAAGAUGAGCUCGCGUCUGAUUAGCUAGUUGGUAAGGUAACGGCUUACCAAGGCGACGAUCAGUAGCCGGACUGAGAGGUUGAUCGGCCACAUUGGGACUGAGGCACGGCCCAGACUCCUACGGGAGGCAGCAGUGGGGAAUAUUGCACAAUGGAGGAAACUCUGAUGCAGCGAUGCCGCGUGAGGGAAGAAGGUUUUAGGAUUGUAAACCUCUGUCUUCAGGGACGAAAAAAGACGGUACCUGAGGAGGAAGCUCCGGCUAACUACGUGCCAGCAGCCGCGGUAAUACGUAGGGAGCGAGCGUUGUCCGGAAUUACUGGGUGUAAAGGGAGCGUAGGCGGGAUCGCAAGUCAGAUGUGAAAACUAUGGGCUUAACCCAUAAACUGCAUUUGAAACUGUGGUUCUUGAGUGAAGUAGAGGUAAGCGGAAUUCCUAGUGUAGCGGUGAAAUGCGUAGAUAUUAGGAGGAACAUCAGUGGCGAAGGCGGCUUACUGGGCUUUAACUGACGCUGAGGCUCGAAAGCGUGGGGAGCAAACAGGAUUAGAUACCCUGGUAGUCCACGCCGUAAACGAUGAUUACUAGGUGUGGGGGGACUGACCCCUUCCGUGCCGCAGCAAACGCAAUAAGUAAUCCACCUGGGGAGUACGACCGCAAGGUUGAAACUCAAAGGAAUUGACGGGGGCCCGCACAAGCAGUGGAGUAUGUGGAUUAAUUCGAAGCAACGCGAAGAACCUUACCAGGUCUUGACAUCGUAUGCAUAGCUCAGAGAUGAGUGAAAUCUCUUCGGAGACAUAUAGACAGGUGGUGCAUGGUUGUCGUCAGCUCGUGUCGUGAGAUGUUGGGUUAAGUCCCGCAACGAGCGCAACCCUUACUGUUAGUUGCUACGCAAGAGCACUCUAGCAGGACUGCCGUUGACAAAACGGAGGAAGGUGGGGAUGACGUCAAAUCAUCAUGCCCCUUAUGACCUGGGCCUCACACGUACUACAAUGGCUGUCAACAGAGGGAAGCAAAGCCGCGAGGUGGAGCGAACCCCUAAAAGCAGUCUUAGUUCGGAUUGUAGGCUGCAACCCGCCUACAUGAAGUCGGAAAUGCUAGUAAUCGCAGAUCAGCAUGCUGCGGUGAAUACGUUCCCGGGCCUUGUACACACCGCCCGUCACGCCAUGGGAGUCGGUAACACCCGAAGCCUGUAGUCUAACCGCAAGGAGGACGCAGUCGAAGGUGGGAUUGAUGACUGGGGUGAAGUCGUAACAAGGUA